UACGUAGGGUGCAGGCGUUAAUCGGAAUUACUGGGCGUAAAGCGUGCGCAGGCGGUUUGCUAAGACAGGUGUGAAAUCCCCGGGCUUAACCUGGGAACUGCGCUUGUUACUGGCAGGCUUGAGUGUGGCAGGAGGGGGGUGGAAUUCCACGUGUAGCAGUGAAAUGCGUAGAGAUGUGGAGGAACACCGAUGGCGAAGGCAGCCCCCUGGGCUAACACUGACGCUCAUGCACGAAAGCGUGGGGAGCAAACAGG
rnacentral:rRNA from 1 species